rnacentral:tRNA from 1 species
GCCGCCGUAGCUCAGCCUGGUUGGAGCGCCGCCCUGGUAACAUAGGCGGAGGUCCCGGGUUCGAAUCCCGGCGGCGGCUCCA